CUGGAACAGAUAAUAUAAUAAAGAAGAUUAUUAACUUUAUAAAAGAAGCAAUUUUGAAGAUAAUAUCAAAUAAAUUUCCUCGUCCUAAAGGUGAAGAGUUUCCUUAAAAAAUUCUCCAUUACAAAAUGGAUACUGCUUCUUCUUCAGAAAACUAGGAUUGGAAAACUCUUUACAAUGUGGUCGCUGAAGCAAACGAGGCAAUUGUUUCACAAGUUAAAUAAUUUCUAUUAUCGAUGUCACAAUAUAUCAAUAUCGGAUGUCUUACUACAGAUAUCCAAUUGCAAUGGUCCUCAUCAUUAUUGUGAAAUGAAAAGAUGUAUCUCCUCAUAUUUGUGUUGAAAAUAUCAUAUAAAAUAUAUUGCAUACUAGCGUACUACUGUGAUCAAAAAGUAAGGUGAAUUUGUUUAUAAAAUGAAAAAUCUUUAUUUAUUCUUCCAAAUCAAUUUCAUCGCCUUCAAAGUACUCCCCGUCCGGCACAAUGCACUUAUGCCAACGUUUUUUCCAAUCUUCGAAACAGUCAGAGAAGUCUUUUUCCGGGAUGGCCUUCAAUACUUUCUUCGAUUAGGCUUUUAUCUCCUCAAUCGAGUCGAAACGGUGUCCCCGGAGCGGUCUUUUGAGUUUGUUGAACAGCCAGAAGUCGCACGGUGCUAAAUCAGGCGAAUAUGGUGGUUGUGGAGCGAUAUGGGUCGAAUUUUUGGCGAAAUGUUCUCGGAGAACCAAUGCAGUGUGGGACGGUGCAUUAUCGUGGUGCAAAAACCAAGAAUUGUCUGCCCAUAAUUCUGGCCUCUUGAGGCGAAUAGCUUCACGCAAACGACGCAUAACACUCAAAUAAUAUUCCUUGUUAACAGUUUGAUUUCCUUGACGUGGCUUUCAUCGGUAGAUGUUGAUGGUCGUCCGGGGCGCUGUUCGUUUUGAACUCGUUCUCGGCUUUCUUUGAAGUCUUUGUACCACUUGUAAACAUUUUUU